rnacentral:rRNA from 1 species
CACGUAGGCACCAAGCGUUGUCCGGAUUUAUUGGGCGUAAAGAGCUCGUAGGCGGUUCAGUAAGUCGGGUGUGAAAACUUUGGGCUUAACCCAAAGCGUGCAUCUGAUACUGCUGUGACUUGAGUUCGGUAGGGGAGUGGGGAAUUCCUAGUGUAGCGGUGAAAUGCGCAGAUAUUAGGAGGAACACCGGUGGCGAAGGCGCCACUCUGGGCCGAAACUGACGCUGAGGAGCGAAAGCAUGGGGAGCGAACAGG